rnacentral:rRNA from 1 species
UACGGGGGGGGUAAGCGUUGUUCGGAAUUACUGGGCGUAAAGCGUGCGUAGGUGGUUCGUUAAGUCCGUUGUGAAAGCCCCGAGCUCAACUUGGGAAUUGCAGUGGAUACUGGCGAGCUGGAGUGCGGUAGAGGAAGGUGGAAUUCCCGGUGUAGCGGUGAAAUGCGUAGAGAUCGGGAGGAACACCAGUGGCGAAGGCGGCCUUCUGGACCAGCACUGACACUCAAGCACGAAAGCGUGGGGAGCAAACAGG